GACGUAGGGCGCGAGCGUUGUCCGGAUUUAUUGGGCGUAAAGAGCUCGUAGGCGGCUUGUCGCGUCGUCCGUGAAAACUUGGGGCUCAACCCCAAGCUUGCGGUCGAUACGGGCAGGCUAGAGUUCGGUAGGGGAGACUGGAAUUCCUGGUGUAGCGGUGAAAUGCGCAGAUAUCAGGAGGAACACCGGUGGCGAAGGCGGGUCUCUGGGCCGAUACUGACGCUGAGGUGCGAGAGCGUGGGGAGCGAACCGG
rnacentral:rRNA from 1 species